GGUGGCGAAGAGUUGACAAUCGCCAGUCGAUAGCAAAACAUGAGAGAGUGCUCAUCGCGCAGCAAUACGCGUCUACUUAGUGUGGUAAUCGUAAUCGAUCAACGUCUCAGAAUCGACACUUGUCGAUAUUUAAUCGAGAUACUAUCUCGCCGCAUAACGGGCGAUUAACGAUAGUUGGUUAGACCUGUUCCCACAUCUAUGGAGUUUCAUCUAGACAGUGCAGAAUACUGCCAGGCACAGCACAAAUAAAAAGUAAGCAAUCCUACAAAAAGGCGGAGAUAGCCUGAGUAAACACAGUCAUCUCUUCGGGAGUCGACAUCGAUAAGUGGUGUGGAUACCAUCGGAAUAAUACCGUCAACGGAUCAGCUGAAGUAGCGACAGCAGCGGCAUCAAUUAGCCCAAGACUGUCGAUCUAUGGGAGAGAAAGAGGAAUACUAAAUUCAAAGCAUCGCGGUGAUCACAGAUCAUAUCACAGCAAGGAAAUAUUUAAAUUUUUAACAACGAAACCUUGAAAAAGUUGUAAUAUUUUCGAAAACAAAACGGGAACUGAGCCCAAAUCAUUUUUGUUAGCUUAAAAUACGUGUGACACUUAACAGGGAACCCUUUUUUCAGUCAAAGAAAAUUGAUUGAUUUUCUUUGUGAUAGCAGAAAAAUCCAUAAUUGUA